UUUGUUCGCCGGCGUGAGCGAAUAUGGACGUCCAAGACGACUCGUACUGGCGAUGUUAAAUGCGAAGUAGAUAAACUUCUUUAUUUUACAACACAGUCCGUUACAGUAAAAAAAUGUGUGUUCCUGAGAAAUCGUAGAAUCGAACUUCAAACAACUGGAGUAUUUGAUACAGACCACACGGAGCGGAUGACUACAUUACACAGAGGCAUAUUCACCAGAACUGAAACAUUGCUCUUCCUGUCCCGGGACCGCUCCUGCGCUGUUAUUAAGGUCGACUCGCUUACAAAUUGGAACCAGUCCUACUACGAUAUGCGCGUGACUGAUACUUUUGUGCGUUCAGCACCCCUUCCAGCCUGUCGAGUUUUUUUUAAUCGCAUCAUAAGACCUCGUUCCUCGCACCUCGUUUUCUUUCCCCGAUGUCUUCGGCUAUUGCGAGAACGCAAUGAAGAUGAAGAGUAGAAUUUCAUCACAUGAGUGUUUCAUUUUUCCUGACUUUAAACUUGAUGACUUUAUGUUCUGUUACCGAUGAAUUCCAAUAAAGUUUACGAAGUUUUGCUCU